rnacentral:rRNA from 1 species
UACGGGAGGCAGCAGUGGGGAAUAUUGCACAAUGGGCGCAAGCCUGAUGCAGCCAUGCCGCGUGUAUGAAGAAGGCCUUCGGGUUGUAAAGUACUUUCAGUCGUGAGGAAGGUGUUAAGGUUAAUAACCUUAGCAAUUGACGUUAGCGACAGAAGAAGCACCGGCUAACUCCGUGCCAGCAGCCGCGGUAAUACGGAGGGUGCGAGCGUUAAUCGGAAUUACUGGGCGUAAAGGGCACGCAGGCGGUUAAUUAAGUUGGAUGUGAAAUCCCCGGGCUUAACCUGGGAAUGGCAUUCAAGACUGGUUAGCUAGAGUCUUGUAGAGGGGGUAGAAUUCCAUGUGUAGCGGUGAAAUGCGUAGAGAUGUGGAGGAAUACCGGUGGCGAAGGCGGCCCCUGGGACAAAGACUGACGCUCAUGCGACGAAGCGGUGGGAGACAACGAGUAGUA